UAAUACGUAGGCAGCGAGCGUUGUUCGGAGUUACUGGGCGUAAAGGGUGUGUAGGCGGUUGUUUAAGUUUGGUGUGAAAUCUCCCGGCUCAACUGGGAGGGUGCGCCGAAUACUGAAUGACUAGAGUGCGGGAGAGGUGAGUGGAAUUCCUGGUGUAGCGGUGAAAUGCGUAGAUAUCAGGAGGAACACCGGUGGUGUAGACGGCUCACUGGACCGUAACUGACGCUGAGACACGAAAGCGUGGGUAGCAAACAG
rnacentral:rRNA from 1 species